UACGUAGGGUGCAAGCGUUGUCCGGAAUUUAUUGGGCGUAAAGAGCUCGUAGGCGGCUGCUCAAGUCGAAUGUGAAAACUCGAGGCUCAACCUCGACUGCAUUCGAUACUGGGCGGCUAGAGUCUGGUAGGGGGAGUCUGGAAUUCCUGGUGUAGCGGUGGAAUGCGCAGAUAUCAGGAGGAACACCGGUGGCGAAGGCGGGUCUCUGGGCAGUAACUGACGCUGAGGAACGAAAGGCGUGGGUAGCAAACAGG
rnacentral:rRNA from 1 species